GCAAAGACCACUUUCUAUGUGUGUCCUGGUACCUGGGAGUCCUGGACAGAAUGGUAUGGAGGGUGGCCUCCAACUGGCCAGCAACCAGGCAGGCUGGACCCCAUGGCCCUACCUGGUAGAGAAGGUUCUCUGGUGAAGAGAUGCUCUGGUUUUACUCUUGAGCUAAUUAAGUACAGUAAAAAGCUUAUAAGUGACUCGAUUUUGUCUUUUAAUGUAUACUUAUUUUAUUCAUUUUUAAGCUACAAGUUUAUCCCUCCCUCCCCCAUCAUCAAACAUUUCUCAUUACAGAAACUCUGGAAAGAAUAUAAAGAGAAGGAAAAAAAAAUCACAAGGGCCUGGGGUUGUGGCUCAGUGGUAGAGCGCUUGCCUAGCAUGUGUGAGGCACUGGGUUCAAUUCUCAUCACGGCAUAUAGAUAGAUAAAAAUAAAGGUCCAUUAACAAAUAAAAAAUAUUUUACAAAAUCAUGAAUUCAGCACAGGUGGCCAAUUAAUAUUUCAGUGUAUUUUUAUGUUUUUUCUCAUCUGUGAAAUUUUAAUUGCAUUUUGUUUAAUUUUUGCAUCU
rnacentral:lncRNA from 1 species